GUGCUCGCUUAGGCUGCACGUAUACUAAAAUUGGAACGGUACAGAGAAGAUUAGCAUGGCUUCUGUGCAAGGAUGACACGCAAAUUCGUGAAGCGUUCCAUAUUUUA